GAAAGAACUUUGGAUCACCGGAAGCGUGAUUUGAGCGGAUGGUGGGAUAUCGAGAGGCCGGCUCGUUUGAUUCUGGGGUUUCUCGUGGAAAAGUGGCGGCUUUUUUUAGGAUUUGGUGAUCUCUGGAGCACAGAAGCCUCUUCCCUGAGAGGAUUGCUGCAGACGAAGCGCAAGGUGUUGAUGUAGGUAAUUCGAGUGCUAAAUGAGCCUCUUGAUCCGUGGGUGUGAGGUGAGAUUUUCUUCUUUUCCUUCUUGUUUUACCGUAGGUUCUCGAAUCUAAUUCGUUUUUUCAUCAUUUGUUCUUCGUCUAUGAUCCGAGGAGAACAAGAACCUCCUGGCUCUUGUGCGAGACGGCAUGGGAUGAUCUCCUUGAGGUUUUGUUCGGAAGAUUUACGAUUCUGCAGCUUUCAUGCCAUUCUUGCUCAAUGAGUCAGCGGUGCUGAGAGUAAUCAAAUCAGUUGAAAUGGCUCAUCUAUAUUAUUUUUAUUUUUCAUUUUUUUUCCAGAUUAAACUUCCGAGUUCUUGUUUUCCUUCUUAAUUUUAGCGGAUUAUAUAGUAAGUUUCAAGUCUUUCUUGAAGUUAUUUUCUGAAUCCUCCAAGAAGAUAAAUAAUAGUGUACGAUUUUCUUACAUUUGAAAGUUGAAAUUUGUUCUUUUUUUCCCCCCUUCUCUUGGUGACUUUAAAUUUGAUUCUUGUGCUCAGGUGGGGUUUUUCUUAUUUCAUCCUUCAUCUAUCUUUUGUUCCUUAAUUUUCUUGCUUUGAAUAAAAGCAUGAAGUAGUUACAGUAAAGUUCUUGGUGCUGCGAAGGAAAACGACAAUUUUUAGUGUAUAAGAGCAUCCGGUUAUGAUGACAAGAACAGUCAUGAAUCCAACCAAGGUUCUGCAAAGCUACCAUGCUCAGCACAGGCAUGCGCGUGAACGCUUUUGAUUCUAACCCAGGACAUCAGGCCUAUAAGGACAUCAGGCAUGGUGAGGAUCAUGACGAAGGAAGCUGCACAUUGUUCAUGGGGGCACUAUGGUUUAUAAAGACACCCGCACCUAGGUCAUCCCUUGGAACAAUCUCUGCAGAUAUAUGCUAGAAAAAUGUGGCACCUUGACCAAGAGAACUAUGCCCCGGGGAACUAUCAAGAAACUAUUUUAAUGGAUUAUUCACAAGUUAUCAGAUUGAUGCAGCAAUUACUAUCCUGAAGGAGCACUCUACUUCCCAACUAAACUGAGUGUAUGCCAUGUUAGUAGCUUCCUCUCGGUUUCUCUUUAAUAUAUAUGACUUUUAACUUGUUUUGAUAGUCCGUUUCUGUGCCAUUUACCCUUAUUCCAUCAUUUUGGGACUUGCACUUUUCACUGGUAACCAUGUAUUGACAUGAUUACAUCUUUAUAAAAUUUACUAGGUACAACUCAGCCUUGCUUACACUUCUCUCUCUUUCCCACUUCUGUUCUGCAAUCCCAACAUACUCUGCAGUGUAAUUGAGUAUGCCCUUUGUAAGUUCUAACUAUGCAGCACUUGAUUUUUAUAUACUUAACUUUGUCUUGUGAGAUGUAAUCUUUCAAGCUUUCCUAGGUAUAGUGGGUGUUUGUGCUGCGUUAUGCAUGCAAUGAAAGCUGUUGAUAUAUGCCACUAACCCUAUUAUAUUAUUUCUUCUGUCAUCUGCAGCUAUUCCAUUCUCCUCUUGCAUUGCAUAUGAGAUGCCUCCUGAUUCUUGUUGUCGCAGGCAUUUGUGUGUUAUCUUUUCAAUUCAGUUUAAGAUAUAGGUUUCCAUGUGUGUAUAGAUAUAGUGAAGGAAACAAUGUGGUAGGCACUUAUUUUCUUAUUAUUAGCUUUUACACACAGAAUUUUGGUUUGAUUUGUUUUCAAUUUAUAUGGAUCUCAUAAUGCAAAGCUUUCAUCAGAGUAGAUCCUACCAUCAGAAUGUGGAUAGUUUUGAAGUGUUUUAUUCCCCUUCAAAGUAAAAAAGAUUCUGGUAUUAGCUAAUUUUAACAUGUUGCUGAAUUAUAAAUAUGCUCCUCACCUGUAAUUACUUAUUUACUGCUAUGAAAUUGAAAUGCCAUGCAUCUCUUCAGAAGUUAUAUUUUUCGUACAUGUUAUUUCAACAGUGUAAAUGGGAAGCAACAGAAAACAGAAUAAAUAGAAAUAAUCUUAUUUUUGAGUUAUAUAAUUUUUUAUAUUAUAAAUAUUGUUACGACCUAAUGAUCUAAGUUUGGUUCAUGGAAAAAAAAUUUCUUCUUAUGUCAUAUGGUUGCAUCUAUUGAGUCUCUCUAGAGUGCAUAUUGCAUGAGCCUCAUGCAUUGAAGAUAUUUGUGGUAUAUGUAUAAUGAAAAGAAACAUCCUUAGGUGUACAUAGUUGUACUAAAUUUUUAAUAAUGACAGGUUUAUACAUAUUUCUGUGUUUAUCUGCCUUCUUAAUAUCUCACACUUAUACCUUCCUUAUUUGCUAGAUUGAACUAACAAAUUUUGCAUCUAUCUUAAGCAGCAUUAUGCAACCUUCAUAGAAAUGAUUUCAGUAAUCUAUUUAUGUACUCUUGUACGAACUGUUUAUAAUCUAAGGUAGAAAGGUUCAGGCGACUUUUGUUUGUUAUGGAAGAUGGGAAGUUCCUUUCUUCUUUCUCUGUGACAUGACUUUUCUUAAUGAGCUUGGCAUCGUGGUUUGUUUUUAGUAAUGACUGGUUCCCUGACACUAAGUUCCAAGAUGCAGACCCACUUCUAAUAAACUAGAUUACUAAUGAAUUGGAGAGGAGUACUUAAUACAUUAUUUGUAUUUAUCGUCUUAUGUGGCUGCAUUUUAUGGUUUAGCUCAUUAGCUAGUUGUGUAUAUUGUCCACAACCAUCAAAUUCAUCAAAAUUAAUGCAUGUUUGUAAUUUUCAGUUGCUAUUAGCUUUUAAAGCUGUAUCUUUGUUGUUUUUUUUUCCAAAUCUACCCCUGGGUGGUGUUUUUAUCAUCUAAAGUGCAAGGAGUAUAUUAGUUCUUUGUUCUUUGACCUUUCAAUAUGAAUUAACCCUCUUUCGGUUUUUUCAUAUUUGUACCAAACAAUAGAUUCCCAUUUCAGAUUUUAUUGGGGUACCGAAUAAUCGAUUCCUGUUCCAGAUUUUAUUUGGUUGUUCAUGACAGUCCAUUCAGGUGUCCUUUUAGUAAUAUGGACAGUAAAACAUACAGCCAUGUCAUCUUCUAUACAAAUACAACUCUCAGUAGUUCUUUUCUUGAAAUAGUUAAAUGUACAAUCUAGUCAUCCUAUGGUUCUACUGCCUUGUGUGUGUGUUCUUCUACCUGCAGCAUAAACAAAACUAUUAAUAGGACAAACUGAAGGCUCACCUUGAGAAACUUCUGCUACAGAUGUUAACCAUGACCUACAAGUUUCUGAUGUAGAUUUUUUAGGGCUAGAGUGCAAAAUUUUUUACAUUUUUAUUAAAGACCAUCUUUGUUGUGGUGGUAGUACAUUUUUUUAAAGUACUCAUAUAGGGUAGUGGACGUUAUGGACAACUUUGUCUAGAUUGCAUAACUGGUGUGGUCUCCUUUGAUUGUUAAGUUAGAUUCCCAUGGUCUUAAAAAGAGAAGUUGCAGAUUAGAGGGUGAAAGGGGAUAGUGAAUAAAUGUCAACUGUGAGAGUUUAAAGCUUAUCUGUAACACAUCUGAUUAGUCCCACAUUAAAAGUGGGCAGGAUUAAGAUUGACUUAUAAGGGUCUGAUGAGUGUACUACUAUCAACUUCAGCUUAAGCAUUUUGGUCAGUGGUUUAGACCAAACGAAGUUGAUAGGCUAGUUAGCCCAUCAGGCUCGGGUCGUGACAUUUGGUAUCAGAGCCGACCUAGCAUUUGGGCAUGGUGAGGGGGCUCGAGUAGGAAAGGACUACCCGUAGACGGAGUCAGAGGACUUGUCACGGUGUCGAGCCACCACUGGGCUACGCCUCACAUGCACAAUGUUAGAGUUUGAUCUGGGUUAUGUUGGGGCUUGACGAGGACGUCAAGCCUUUGAGUGGGGGUGAUUGUAACACCCCUGAUUAGUCUCACAUCGAAAGUGGGCAGGAUUAAGAUUGACUUAUAAGGGUCUGAUGAGUGUACUACUAUCAACUUUAGCUUAAGCAUUUUGGUCAGUGGUUUAGACCAAACGAAGUUGAUAGGCUAGUUAGCCCAUCAGGCUCGGGUCAUGACAGUUGUAGUUAAUGGGUUGGCAUGGGCAAAUUAGUUCACAUGCUAGCUUGUCGGCCAACUUGCCAGUGAGUUUUGCUUUUUCACUGGUGCUGGACUUUUCUUACUUUUCCCAUAACAAAACUUUCUUGAUGAUCUGGACACCAUAUAUGGUUGGAGGUUAUAGGAUAUACAGAUCAAAAUGGUACAUUCUAGACAAGAUCUGUGACUCAUCGCAAACUUCUUACUCCUGUUAUGGUUCAUUUAUAUAAAGUAAAUUACUAUUUUACGAAUGUAGAUUUAUAAAACAGUCCUCUAUAUGAAAUGAAUUUCGGAAGAGUUGAUUUUCACUAGAAGUGGAGAUCCUGAUAUGAGGAAUUUUCAUUGCAUUUAUAAUUUUUUUUAAUCUUUUCGGUAUGUGAUUUCAAAAAUAGGGUUUCUACUCCACAUCAAUAUCAGAUAAUAAACAUUAAUUUCCUUAUGGAUUGUAAUAUUAUGAGAUUUGACAUCAGUAGACAGCCAAAUUAGAAAUGAUAAUUGAAAUCCUCACUCCCAUGAUUCUGUGCUAUCACUUCUGUGAUUCAAUUAAACAACUUCAGUCUUGACAAUGCAGUUUGGACCUUUUGCUACUACUACAUUAGCAAGGGGACCAUCUUAAUAUUUUGCAUGUGACUGACUUGAUGGGAAACAAAUCAUUGUAUGAUUAGCUGCCUUUCCAAGAAUGAUGACAACCUUUUUAUGGUAGAAAAUUGUUGUCAUGUAUUUAUCUUCUAGAUGAAUAUUGCUUCUAUAGAAAAUUGCCUUUUCUACCUUUUUUUUUUUUAUAUUACAUCUAUGACUGCUGAGAUGGUAGUCCCUCCUAACUGUCAACUGACUCAGUUCUACUUGAUCCCUUCUUGCCUAAAUUUGUCUGAUUUAGGACAGCUUAGAGGUUGAUAUUCAGGUCAAAAUCCAGGGUGCAAGGCUUUUUUCGAUUAUAUAUAUAACCUUGUAAUGUUUUAUCAGUCUCGUUACUCUUUUUCUGAUUGCUAUUCUGGGAGUUCUGAUAAAGGUGGUUGAAAUAAAUGGGUAUGGUAUAAUCCUUAAAGUGCAGAAAUUUUUAUUUGCUGAUUAGGUUGGUGUAAAUCAUGUUUCUAGAUAUGCAAUCAUCCAAUUCAAUGACUUGGUUGUCACUAGUUCUUUAGAUAGUACAAACCAUUUGUCAUUUGGCAUCACAUAGUUUUGAGAUUUCCUUACAUAGUAAAUCCAUUUUGCAAGUCUAGUUUUGACAUUUUAUUUACAUUAGUAAAUCCAUUUUGCAAGAAAGAUCUAAAUAAGAAGUUUAGACAGGCAUAGAUGCAAGAUUAUCAUAAAAUAACAACACCAGUAAAAUUUAGGUAGAGUACAUCAACAAGAUUUAUAAUGCUUGCAGUCUACUAGUACUUAAGAAAACAGAGAGUUAACCGCAGCCCAAUAGACGUUUCUUGACAGUUUGAACCUUCUGAUGAAAACUAUCUUUAUGAAACAUUUAUUACCGAUAAUUUGUUUGGUGAAAAAUUUAGGAAUCGACCUUGAUGUUAUUGCUUGCUUAGGUGACAUCAAACGAUGUUGAGCAUUCUAUAUCUUUAUGCUGGAGUGCUUGGUUUUGUGAAUGAUUCAUCUCCAUUACGGAUCACAUAAGUGUUAAAAUUGGUUGAUUAUUCGGAAAUUUUAAAGAAACAAGAAUGAAAAAUGAAAGAUGAUAGCUAAAAAGUUCAAGAGUUAUUGAUGGAAGGCUACUGAACUGCCGUUAUGGUACUAAACAAAUUUUAAUUUGGUUUUGGAACCAUUCUCAGGUGCAUGUUACACUUUAUUUAAAAAAUAUAUAUGCUUCUCAAGGAAUAGUGUCUAGCUUGGUUCUUUCAUGUACUUGACACGUGCGCUCCGUUUUAAUGAUAUUUUUUUAGUUUGAUCAUGGUACAUCAACAAGAGCUAGAUACAAUUCUAUACUGAUGUUGUUUUAAUGUAGUAAUACUUUUCUUUUCUCAGUUCCAAAUAUCUGCCUUUUUGGGUGUUUCAAUGGUUCUUCACAGUUCUCAUGACAGUGUUAAUACUUUCUGAGCAAGAUCCUCGUCCAGGACUCUGGAAUUGCCAGAGUAAUUCCCUCUUUAUGAGUUCUUUUGCAUCAUAAUCUCAAUAUUUGAGAACUUUGAGGCAUGGAAGUGUACUAAACCCUGCUUUUCUCUAAAAAAAAAGGAUGUUCAUCAAGGAAAACUGGGCUUGUUGAGGCAUGGAAGUGUACCAAACCCUGCUUUUCUCUAUAAAAAAGAUGUUCAUCGAGGAAAACUGGGCUUGUUCACCUCUGAUGCCUCGCUGCCUACCAUUUUAUACGGGAGGCGAGUUGACAAAAUGUUCCUUCUGUUUUCUCCAAAAGGCAUUAAGAGCUUGUCGUCCGUCAUUAGAAUCGUAGACUUAGGUGCAGAGCUUGUACUUUCUUAAACUUCUUUGUAUCUCAAAGCUAUCAGAAGUUUCACAUUCUUCAUUGGGUCCUGAUUUAAUAAUGACUAAUGCUAGAUCUUUCUUGCUUGUUACAUUCUGAAAUAUUCUGAGAUGUAUGUGGAAAUCAAUGAGAAAGGAAGAGGAGGGUUGUGAAAGAGGCAUCUUUGCAGGAUAAAGAGAGAAACAGAAACAUUGAUUUAAAAAUGACUACUUCGUUGGAAGCAGAACCUGCAAGCCUCCUGCAAGAUUUUGGGGUGGAAAAGAGAUGUCUGCUGUCAUCAGGAAUGAGCAGGCCUGCAGAUAAACCCUAAGCAAGAUGGUUCAAAUGGCUCACAAAACCCAAGUAAGGCAAUUCUAUAGUGCCAAUUAUGCAUGUGCUAGCUGUCUGUACAAUACACCAUAAGUUCUUGAUUGUCUAUAUGAGCAAGUUGCUGUAUGGUUCAA